rnacentral:rRNA from 1 species
GGUGGAGCAUGUGGUUUAAUUCGAUUCAACGCGAAGAACCUUACCAAGAAUUGACAUGCUGCGAACGUUUACGAAAGUAAAAAGUCUAUUAACUUAGUUAAUAGCGCAGACACAGGUGGUGCAUGGUUGUCGUCAGCUCGUGCCGUGAGGUGUUGGGUUAAGUCCCGCAACGAGCGCAACCCUUGUCUUUAGUUAUAUUCUAGAGAGACUGCCGGUGAUAAACCGGAGGAAGGUGAGGAUGACGUCAAAUCAGCAUGCCCCUUACAUCUUGGGCGACUCACGUGCUACAAUGGUCGAGACAAAGAGAUGCUACCCUGCGAAGGCAAGCUAACCUCAAAAACUCGAUCUUAGUUCGGAUUGCAGGCUGCAACUCGCCUGCAUGAAGUUGGAAUCGCUAGUAAUCGCAGGUCAGCCAUACUGCGGUGAAUACGUUCUCGGGUCUUGUACACACCGCCCGUCACAC